rnacentral:rRNA from 1 species
AAGGCGAGGCACUCUAGACGAACUGCCGUUGCAAAACGGAGGAAGUGGGGAUGACGUCAAAUCAUCAUGCCCCUUAUGUUCUGGGCUACACACGUGCUACAAUGGCCGGUACAGACGGACGCAAAGCCGCGAGGUGGAGCAAAUCCUAAAAAGCCGGUCUCAGUUCGGAUUGCAGGCUGCAAUUCGCCUGCAUGAAGUCGGAAUCGCUAGUAAUCGCAGGUCAGCAUACUGCGGUGAAUACGUUCCCGGGCCUU